AUCACUAAGUGAUCUAGUUGUAGGGCUUCUCUCCUUUGGCAGGUUAUGUUCAUCGAAAAUAAAUCAAGAUCUAAUUCUUCUAUUCAACAAUAACUCGCCAAAGGAGAGUUGCCCUGUAACUGAUUCGACUUAAUAA
rnacentral:pre_miRNA from 1 species